rnacentral:rRNA from 1 species
UACAGAGGUCCCAAGCGUUGUUCGGAUUCACUGGGCGUAAAGGGUGCGUAGGUGGCGGGGUAAGUCGGAUGUGAAAUCUCGGAGCUCAACUCCGAAAUGGCAUUGGAAACUACCCUGCUAGAGGGUCGGAGGGGGGACUGGAAUACUUGGUGUAGCAGUGAAAUGCGUAGAUAUCAAGUGGAACACCAGUGGCGAAGGCGAGGCCCUGGACGACUCCUGACACUGAGGCACGAAAGCUAGGGGAGCAAACAGG